UACGUAGGGUGCAAGCGUUGUCCGGAAUUAUUGGGCGUAAAGAGCUUGUAGGCGGUUUGUCGCGUCUGCUGUGAAAUUUCGGGGCUCAACCCCGAACUUGCAGUGGGUACGGGCAGACUAGAGUGUGGUAGGGGAGACUGGAAUUCCUGGUGUAGCGGUGAAAUGCGCAGAUAUCAGGAGGAAUACCGAUGGCGAAGGCAGGUCUCUGGGCCAUAACUGACGCUGAGAAGCGAAAGCAUGGGGGAGCGAACAGG
rnacentral:rRNA from 1 species